rnacentral:tRNA from 1 species
GAUGGGGUCAGCUAAUUAAGCUUUUGGGCCCAUACCCCAAAAAUGUAGGUUUAAACCCUUCUCUUACCA